CUGCUCACGCACACGCCGCGGGCCUGUCGCCUCCGCGGCGUCCUGGAUGCAACUCGCCGCGGCGCCCCUGCCUUUGGAGGAGCAGCGGCGCGAGGCUGCUGGGGAUGCGUUAAUACUGACUGGAAGUCCUUAGCAUUUGGGUGGUAUAAAUAGAAAUCGGAUUUUCCAGCUUCUCAGACUUUACCAUCCAAGAGAAGAGACUCUCAGCCCUUGCUCAGAUCCUGGGAUUCAGAAUGAAGAAUAGAGGUAGGGCUGGAGGCUGCAUUUCCACAGCAUCCCAUGAGAUUCUGCAUAUCUCCUGAUUCAGAUCAUCUCUCCUAGUCUGGAGUCUGAAGUAGUCUGGAGUUAAUAGAGUUUCGA